rnacentral:rRNA from 1 species
AGAGUUUGAUCCUGGCUCAGGACGAACGUUGGCGGUGCGCUUAAUGCAUGAGAGUUUGAUCCUGGCUCAGGAUGAACGCUAGCGGCAGGCCUAAUACAUGCAAGUCGAGGGUGAAGUUUGGUGCUUGCACUAAACGGAAACCGGCGAACGGGUGCGUAACACGUAUGCAAUCUACCUAUAACUAAGGGAUAGCCCAGAGAAAUUUGGAUUAAUACCUUAUAACACUAUUCAUUCGCAUGUUUGAAUAGUUAAAGCUCCGGCGGUUAUAGAUGAGCAUGCGGCCCAUUAGCUUGUUGGUGAGGUAACGGCUCACCAAGGCAACGAUGGGUAGGGGGUCUGAGAGGAUGAUCCCCCACACUGGUACUGGGACACGGACCAGACUCCUACGGGAGGCAGCAGUAGGGAAUAUUGGUCAAUGGACGAAAGUCUGAACCAGCCAUGCCGCGUGCAGGAUGAAUGCCCUCUGGGUUGUAAACUGCUUUUAUAUAGGAAGAAACCACCCUACGUGUAGGGUGCUGACGGUACUAUACGAAUAAGGACCGGCUAACUCCGUGCCAGCAGCCGCGGUAAUACGGAGGGUCCAAGCGUUGUCCGGAUUUAUUGGGUUUAAAGGGUACGCAGGCGGGAUAUUAAGUCAGUGGUGAAAGCCUACAGCUCAACUGUAGAACUGCCAUUGAAACUGAUAUUCUUGAGUAUGGAUGAGGUGGUUGGAAUAUAUCAUGUAGCG